AAUCAACGCUGGCGGCGUGCCUCAGACAUGCAAGUCGAACGCGAAAGUCCCCUUCGGGGGACAAGUAGAGUGGCGCACGGGUGAGUAACACGUAGGUAAUCCACCUUCGGAUGGGGAAGUAACAACCGGAAACGGUUGCUAAUACCGCAUAAUGCAGCGGCACCUAAUGGUGACAGUUGUUAAAGCGGGGGAUCGAAAGACCUCGCGUCUGAAGAGGAGCCUGCGGCGGAUUAGCUAGNGGUAAGGUAACGGCUUACCAAGGCGACGAUCCGUAGCCGGCCUGAGAGGGCGGUCGGCCACACUGACACUGACAUACGGGUCAGACUCCUACGGGAGGCAGCAGUCGGGAAUUUUGGGCAAUGGGCGAAAGCCUGACCCAGCAACGCCGCGUGAAGGAU
rnacentral:rRNA from 1 species